CGGCUCCAUGUGUUAUAAAUAGCCGCAGCUAAUUUCACUGUGGCUAAGGUAGCAUAAUCAUUAGCCUUUUAAUUAAAGGCUAGAAUGAAGGAUUUAACUCUUUAAUUUCUUUUUUUUUAAAAAUUAUUUAACUUAAAUUAGGAAUAAAAAUGUUCUUAUUAUAUAAAAAGACGACAAGACCCUAUUGAACUUUACUUAAGUUUAGCUGGGGAAGCUAAUUAAAUAUCAUUUUAAUUUUUCUUUUUAAAAAAAUAUCCAUUAUAAAUGAUUUAACAAGUUACCAUAGGGAUAACAGCGUAAUUCUUUUUAAAAGCUCUUAUAUAAAAAAGAGAUUACGACCUCGAUGUUGAAUUAAUUUUACUUUAUAACGCAACCGUACCAAAAGUGGGUCUGUUCGACCCUUAAAUAAUUACAUGAUCUGAGUUCAAACCGGA
rnacentral:rRNA from 1 species